rnacentral:RNase_P_RNA from 5 species
UUCUUUGAUAGUUCGCAGUCGCUUAUAUCUCGAGCAAUCGAGAUACGAGAGGAAAGUCCGGGCAACAUAAGGACGGGAAGUUCCUAACGGGAAUCGGGAUGGUACCUAACAAGGCCAUUCAAGGGAAAGUACCACAGAGACAAUACUACUCCCGCAAGGGAGGAAAGGUGAAAAGUCCCACUUAGUGGGAACACUAUCUACUUCGAGAGGGUAAACCUCAAAAGAGUAGCCGGUUGUGGGUAAACCCUUCCUGUUGCAAGGUGAGACUGGUAGCAUGGAAUAAAUUGAGUCCUUACGAUCCACGCUACUCACCGCUAGAUCCAUUCGGCAACGAAUGGGCCAGAUAGAUGACUGCUUAAAUACAGAACCCGGCUUAUGGACCGAAGAACACU